rnacentral:misc_RNA from 1 species
AGUGGAUACCCAAAGAAUAAAGCAAAUUAUCAACGAAGCCGACUGAAUUACAUAUGUGCAGCUACAUCACAGAACUCAACAUUGUGGAGGCAGUGUGUAUGGUACGAAAGGGUGUAGCCAUUUGCUAGGUAAGGCAAAGUGGAAGUAAAAGCGGGCAACGUUAGUGUGUUCUGCUAUUUUAGUGGCAAAUAGAGAGUGGCUUUGGCGGUGGGUGAGACAAGGAAAGAAGAAAAAGGAGGAAGAGUAGCAUGAAACUGAGAUGAGGUUAAGACUUGGGAGUCCGAGUCUGGCUCCAGAGCGUUAUGAAAUUGAGACUCUCAAGUCUUUAAGAAAAGCGACGUGGCGCGAAUAAAUAAAGAAACAAAUAAAUAAAGCCACCAACUCUAGGCCAAAAAGCAAUAUUCUUAUAUUGGAGUUCGG